GAGUAUAUUGUUUCUCGCUCUUCAUUUGUUUAUUUUUUCUCCAUUUCUGUAUCUAUUAUAUCUUCAAAUUUUAUUUCGGUGACCUAUGCCUGGGUGGGCUACUCCCCAUAAAAAAAAGUGUGACUUGGAAAAGUCUGGAAAGGCCAUGGCACCCAAGAAAACCACAUCUCGGAGGUGAAGCUUGACAUUGUGAAGUGACAUGAGAUGCCCCAAAGGCUGUGUGAGAGUCAGAGUGACGUCUUCACUCCACCUUAAGAGUCCCUUUACCCUCGAAGGGGACAUGUGAUGACGACCAGAUUUGCUCAUCAUGAUGUGGUUGAACAUGCCGCAGUCUUCUUCCUAAAUGUAAACUAACAAGCCGACGCAGCCACCCCACAAAAAAAACCUCUUGGAUCAGCGCCAUCUACAAUUAGUGAUAUACAGGAGUAACAGCUCCUUCCUCCACAGUAACGUCAUUAUUAUCGUCUCGCCGACAGAUUGGUUGAAAGAGCACCACCAAGGCGCCAAGCAGUCUAGCGGCGGCGGGCUGGUGAAGUCACGGCAUUACUCCUGGACGAGAGGACGAUGAUACACCAGCCCUAGGACAGGACCACAUACCUGCCCCCAUGGUCCUUGGCCCAAGAGGUCCGACUUUGACCAGAGCUGGAAAGAGAGACAGAGAGGCGGCUAACUCGGCCGGCCUUGACCCAGUAAACUCCGCCUACCUGUUACAUAUA